UACGGAGGGGGCUAGCGUUAUUCGGAAUUACUGGGCGUAAAGCGCACGUAGGCGGACUGGAAAGUCAGAGGUGAAAUCCCAGGGCUCAACCUUGGAACUGCCUUUGAAACUCCCGGUCUUGAGGUCGAGAGAGGUGAGUGGAAUUCCGAGUGUAGAGGUGAAAUUCGUAGAUAUUCGGAGGAACACCAGUGGCGAAGGCGGCUCACUGGCUCGAUACUGACGCUGAGGUGCGAAAGCGUGGGGAGCAAACAGG
rnacentral:rRNA from 1 species